rnacentral:rRNA from 1 species
UUUCCGGUUGAUCCUGCCGGACCUGACUGCUAUCGGAUUGAUACUAAGCCAUGCGAGUCUUUGUAGUAAUACAAGGCAGACGGCUCAGUAACACGUAGUCAACCUACCCUAUGGACAAGAAUAAUCUCGGGAAACUGGGCAUAAUUCUUGAUAGAUCAUAAUGCCUGGAAUGGUUUAUGGUUAAAAUGAUUCGUCGCCAUAGGAUGGGACUGCGGCCUAUCAGCUUGUUGGUGAGGUAAUGGCCCACCAAGGCGAUUACAGGUACGGGCUCUGAGAGGAGAAGCCCGGAGAUGGGUACUGAGACACGGACCCAGGCCCUAUGGGGCGCAGCAGGCGAGAAAACUUUGCAAUGUGCGAAAGCACGACAAGGUUAAUCCGAGUGAUUUCUGCUAAAGAAAUCUUUUGCCAGUCAUAAAACCACUGGUGAAUAAGGGGUGGGCAAGUUCUGGUGUCAGCCGCCGCGGUAAAACCAGCACCUCAAGUGGUCAGGAUGAUUAUUGGGCCUAAAGCAUCCGUAGCCGGCUUUGUUAGUUUUCGGUUAAAUCCAUGUGCUCAACGCAUGGGCUGCCGAAAAUACUGCAUAGCUAGGGAGUGGGAGAGGUAGACGGUACUCAGUAGGGAGGGGUAAAAUCCUUUGAUCUAUUGAUGACCACCUGUGGCGAAGGCGGUCUACCAGAACACGUUCGACGGUGAGGGAUGAAAGCUGGGGGAGCAAACCGGAUUAGAUACCCGGGUAGUCCCAGCUGUAAACGAUGCAGACUCGAUGAUGCAUUGGCAUAAUAGCCAGUGCAGUGUCGCAGGGAAGCCGUUAAGUCUGCCGCCUGGGAAGUACGUACGCAAGUAUGAAACUUAAAGGAAUUGGCGGGGGAGCACCACAAGGGGUGAAGCCUGCGGUUCAAUUGGAGUCAACGCCGGGA